CCAGCCACAUAGCCAGUGAUGUCCAAAAGCCAAUAAAACUACCAUAUAGUGGUCAUUUUAACCAUCUCUUCUGUUAAACAUUAAAGUUACCUUAGUUUUCACAUACUAGCUAGUAUAACAUCGAUAGUUAUCUGAAAGCUGUACAUUUUCAGUGCUUAUUAGCCAAGUUGCCCAAUAAUACCCAAAUAAGUAAGAUAGGUGGCCCAUUGUGAUUAACGUUAUUGGACACUUUCUCGAAAUUCACGACCCAGCUCGGGACGUCAAGAUGGCAGCUCAUAAAUACGUUCAACAAGAUAGCUAUACCUAGCCAGCAACUUAAGCUGUUUUUGUCUCCGCCUGCCGCCCAACUCGCCAUUGCUUCACAGGAUGUUACGUCAUUGGCAUUACAUCAUCCGUCGUUGCUCAGCCGAAGAUGCUACAGCAAAGCACCUCUCAGACCUCCCCCCCUUUGCAGCUUCGCCCCGAGUUAAGCUUUUGCCUAAGAUAACCCAAGAGUGUAAAA